UUUUUUUGGGAAACUGUGGCAUUCAUGGUAUAUGCUGUUGCCUCAAUUACUUUAUUCCACUUAAGUUGCUUUAUUUGGUUUUUGUAGGGGCUGCUUUGAGGUUCUUGAUUUUUCCCUUGAUGCUGGAUUUUAUGAGGGAUUUUUGGCUCAUCCUCCAAUAAAAGUUUCUCGUAAAGCUUAUGAAUUUUCAAAACAGAUUGCUGGAGUUCUGCAGUUUAAAUUGCAUCCUCGUUGUGAUCUAUGGCCAGAGAAUUUCCAGACCAAUUUUCCUGAUGGGAAUGAUAUAGCUUUGUACUUUUACCCUGGAAAAUUUGAAAGGUCGAGAAAGAAAUACUCUUCCCUUUUGAAGUUCAUAGAACAGAAUGAUCUAGCACUGAAGAGUCUCAUGGGACGUGUGGAGUUACUUGUUUUUCCAUCUAGCUUAUUGCACAAAAAUUCCCAAAAACUAGAUGGCAGUUUCUUCAUGUGGGGUGUUUUUCGCUGUUCAAAUCACAACACUAUUACUUGAAACUAAGCACUUUUCCUUCUGCUAUAUCCCCCACAGCUGUGUAGUAUGACUGUUAAAAGAAAGAUACAUGUUGAUCCAUUCUUCAAAGGAAUGAGACAGUUCAGGAAAGAUAAAUGUCAAUCACCAAAAGAGAGAUUCAACAGAAUGCAGCUGAUGAUCUGUUCUGCCGAAUAUGAUGAGGAAAUUGUGCCACCUUGUUGGUGAUUCAAGAACACAGUUUAGCCGAUCCUAAAAUUUUGGGACUGGGACUUGGUUGUUGUUGUUGUUGUAAUAACAUCUUAAGAUAAGCCAACCUGUGAAAGAUCGUUCUUAGUUUUAUACACAGCUAUCUUAAUUAGUAUUAUGAUCUGGUUUUAUGAAUUAGAAUGUGAUAUGAAAUUUUCCAGAAUGUGUGAUUUGUGUGUAAAGUUGGGAUUAUGAAGGCAUU